UACGUAGGGUGCGAGCGUUAAUCGGAAUUACUGGGCGUAAAGCGUGCGCAGGCGGUUUUGUAAGACCGAUGUGAAAUCCCCGGGCUCAACCUGGGAAUGGCAUUUGGGACUGCAAGGCUUGAGUGCGGCAGAGGAGACUGGAAUUCCUGGUGUAGCAGUGAAAUGCGUAGAUAUCAGGAGGAAUACCGAUGGCGAAGGCAGGUCUCUGGGCUGACACUGACGCUCAUGCACGAAAGCGUGGGGAGCAAACAGG
rnacentral:rRNA from 1 species